GACGAACGCUGGCGGCGUGCUUAACACAUGCAAGUCGAACGGAAAGGCCCUGCUUUUGUGGGGUGCUCGAGUGGCGAACGGGUGAGUAACACGUGAGUAACCUGCCCUUGACUUUGGGAUAACUUCAGGAAACUGGGGCUAAUACCGGAUAGGAGCUCCUGCUCCAUGGGGUGGGUUGGAAAGUUUCGGCGGUUGUGGAUGGACUCGCGGCUUAUCAGCUUGUUGGUGGGGUAGUGGCUUACCAAGGCUUUGACGGGUAGCCGGCCUGAGAGGGUGACCGGCCACAUUGGGACUGAGAUACGGCCCAGACUCCUACGGGAGGCAGCAGUGGGGAAUAUUGCACAAUGGGCGGAAGCCUGAUGCAGCAACGCCGCGUGCGGGAUGACGGCCUUCGGGUUGUAAACCGCUUUCGCCUGUGACGAAGCGUGAGUGACGGUAAUGGGUAAAGAAGCACCGGCUAACUACGUG
rnacentral:rRNA from 1 species